rnacentral:misc_RNA from 1 species
UCCGGGUUGAUCCCGGCGGUCUCGCCAGACAGCUUAACUGGCGACGAGGGUUGCGCUCGUUGCGGGACUUAACCCAACACCUCACGACACGAGCUGACGACAGCCAUGCAGCACCUUGCACUCCGCCUGGUUUUACCCAGGAGGCCCCAUCUCUGGGGUUGUCGGAGGCAUUCUAGCCCAGGUAAGGUUCUUCGCGUUGCGUCGAAUUAAACCACAUGCUCCAUCGCUUGUGCGGGUCCCCGUCAAUUCCUUUGAGUUUUAGCCUUGCGGCCGUACUCCCCAGGCGGGGCACUUAAUGCGUUAGCUACGGCACGGGAGGAGUCGACACCUCCCACACCUAGUGCCCAUCGUUUACGGCGUGGACUAC